rnacentral:rRNA from 1 species
CAGCCGUAAACAAUGUGCGUUAGGUGUGUCGGUAACCACGUGUUACUGAUGCGCCGAAGAGAAAUCGUGAAACGCACCACCUGGGAAGUACGGUCGCAAGGCUGAAACUUAAAGGAAUUGGCGGGGGAGCACCACAACAGGUGGAGCCUGCGGUUUAAUUGGAUUCAACACCGGACAUCUCACCGGAUAAGACAGCUGAAUGAUUGUCAAUCUGAAGGUUUUACAUGACUAGCUGAGAGGAGGUGCAUGGCGUCAGUGACU